rnacentral:rRNA from 1 species
UAGGGAAUAUUAGUAAUGGGCGCAAGCCUGAACUAGCCACGCCGCGUGCGCGAAGAAGGCCUUCGGGUUGUAAAGCACUUUUUGAGAGGAUGAGGAAGGACGGUACUCUCAGAAUAAGUCUCGGCUAACUACGUGCCAGCAGCCGCGGUAACACGUAGGAGGCGAACGUUAUCCGGAUUUACUGGGCGUAAAGCGCGUGUAGGUGGUUUGGUAAGUAGGGCGUGAAAGCUCCUGGCUCAACUGGGAGAGGCCGUUCUAAACUGCCGAACUAGAGGAUGGUAGAGGGAGGUGGAAUUCCGGGUGUAGCGGUGGAAUGCGCAGAUAUCCGGAGGAACACCAGUGGCGAAAGCGGCCUCCUGGACCAUUCCUGACACUCAGACGCGAAAGCUAGGGUAGCAAACGG